rnacentral:rRNA from 1 species
UGAGCAAUCUGCCCUUCUCAUCGGAAUAAGCGUUGGAAACGACGUCUAAUGCCGAAUACGACCUCCUUUCGCAUGAUCGGAGGUGGAAAGCUCCGGCGGAGAAGGAUGAGCUCGCGGCCUAUCAGCUAGUUGGUGAGGUAACGGCUCACCAAGGCGACGACGGGUAGCCGGCCUGAGAGGGCGAUCGGCCACACUGGGACUGAGACACGGCCCAGACUCCUAGGGAGG